AAAUAAGAAGCAAAAUAUUUUGCAUUUAAUUUCGACUUAAAAAUUAGGGUAUUUAACCCCUUAUUUA
rnacentral:tRNA from 1 species